AGUGAACGCUGGCGGUAGGCCUAACACAUGCAAGUCGAACGGCAGCACAGGAGAGCUUGCUCUCUGGGUGGCGAGUGGCGGACGGGUGAGGAAUACAUCGGAAUCUACUUUUUCGUGGGGGAUAAGGUCGGGAACCUUAGGCUAAUACGCCAUACGACCUACGGGGGAAGGCAGGGGAUCUUCGGACCUUGCGCGUUUGAAUGAGCCGAUGUCGGAUUAGCUAGUUGGCGGGGUAAAGGCCCACCAAGGCGACGAUCCGUAGCUGGUCUGAGAGGAUGAUCGGCCACACUGGAACUGAGACACGGUCCAGACUCCUACGGGAGGCAGCAGUGGGGAAUAUUGGACAAUGGGCGCAAGCCUGAUCCAGCCAUACCGCGUGGGUGAAGAAGGCCUUCGGGUUGUAAAGCCCUUUUGUUGGGAAAGAAAUCCAGCUGGUUAAUACCCGGUUGGGAUGACGGUACCCAAAGAAUAAGCACCGGCUAACUUCGUGCCAGCCGCCGCAGUAA
rnacentral:rRNA from 1 species